GUUUCUUUUAAAUCACAGUGCAGCUUUCACAAAAGAACCACUAACAGGUCUGGAUCCUCACCAGAAGGACCACUAACAGGUCUGGAUCCUCACCAGAAGGACCACUAACAGGUCUGGAUCCUCACCAGAAGGACCACUAACAGGUCUGGAUCCUCACCAGAAGGACCACUAACAGGUCUGGAUCCUCACCAGAAGGACCACUAACAGGUCUGGAUCCUCACCAGAAGGACCACUAACAGGUCUGGAUCCUCACCAGAAGGACCACUAACAGGUCUGGAUCCUCACCA